UCUUGCAAACUAAAGAUGGCGACCGGCGCACGGGUGAGUAACACGUAUCCAACCUGCCGAUAACUCGGGGAUAGCCUUUCGAAAGAAAGAUUAGUAUCCGAUAGUAUAUUAAAACCGCAUGGUUUUACUAUUAAAGAAUUUCGGUUAUCGAUGGGGAUGCGUUCCAUUAGUUUGUUGGCGGGGUAACGGCCCACCAAGACUACGAUGGAUAGGGGUUCUGAGAGGAAGGUCCCCCACAUUGGAACUGAGACACGGUCCAA
rnacentral:rRNA from 1 species